GCAGAGCGUUAAAGCUGACAUGGGGCCUCAUCCUCUAUAACAAUGGUGAGCCAAAUAUCUAAUCUGAGCUACACAUUACCCAAUACCAGUCUUCAUCAUACUCUUUCUCGUAUGUCGCGUAACAUAUUGACGAGAGCUACCUGAAGAACAAUUUGGAUAUCGUAAAAGAAGAGGGACAGAGAUCAAAGCGCCAACAUGAACCGACGCCACUCUGCAACACACGUCUGCCAAGCGGGCUGCAG